GUAUUAGCUUGUUGGUAGGGUAGAAGCCUACCAAGGCAAUGAUGCGUAGCCGAGUUGAGAGACUGGCCGGCCACAUUGGGACUGAGACACUGCCCAAACUCCUACGGGAGGCUGCAGUAGGGAAUUUUCCGCAAUGCACGAAAGUGUGACGGAGCGACGCCGCGUGUGUGAUGAAGGCUUUCGGGUCGUAAAGCACUGUUGUAAGGGAAGAAUAACUGAAUUCAGAGAAAGUUUUCAGCUUGACGGUACCUUACCAGAAAGGGAUGGCUAAAUACGUGCCAGCAGCCGCGGUAAUACGUAUGUCCCGAGCGUUAUCCGGAUUUAUUGGGCGUAAAGCGAGCGCAGACGGUUUAUUAAGUCUGAUGUGAAAUCCCGAGGCCCAACCUCGGAACUGCAUUGGAAACUGAUUUACUUGAGUGCGAUAGAGGCAAGUGGAACUCCAUGUGUAGCGGUGAAAUGCGUAGAUAUGUGGAAGAACACCAGUGGCGAAAGCGGCUUGCUAGAUCGUAACUGACGUUGAGGCUCGAAAGUAUGGGUAGCAAACGGGAUUAGAUACCCCGGUAGUCCAUACCGUAAACGAUGGGUGCUAGUUGUUAAGAGGUUUCCGCCUCCUAGUGACGUAGCAAACGCAUUAAGCACCCCGCCUGAGGAGUACGGCCGCAAGGCUAAAACUUAAAGGAAUUGACGGGGACCCGCACAAGCGGUGGAGCAUGUGGUUUAAUUCGAAGAUACGCGAAAAACCUUACCAGGUCUUGACAUACCAAUGAUCGCUUUUGUAAUGAAAGCUUUUCUUCGGAACAUUGGAUACAGGUGGUGCAUGGUCGUCGUCAGCUCGUGUCGUGAGAUGUUGGGUUAAGUCCCGCAACGAGCGCAACCCUUGUUAUUAGUUGCCAGCAU
rnacentral:rRNA from 1 species